rnacentral:tRNA from 1 species
UACAAAAUAGUGUUAAAUGCACAAAGAUUUUUGGUUUCUUUAGUAGUAGUUUGUUUUACUUUUUGUAU